rnacentral:rRNA from 1 species
AUGGCAAAACGAGGGCUUAACUGUCUCCUUCCCUAAGUCAAUGAAAUUGAUCUUCCCGUGCAGAAGCGGGAAUACCCACAUAAGACGAGAAGACCCUAUGGAGCUUUAGACACAAGAACAGAUCAUGUUAAAACCCCUUGCUUAUAAGAUAAAACCAAUUGAUUCCUGUUAUAAUGUCUUCGGUUGGGGCGACCACGGGGAAAUAAAUAACCCCCACGUGGAGAAGAAACACCUUAUGUUUCCAAACCCAAGAGCCACAGCUCUAAGUAACAGAAUUUCUGACCUUACAGAUCCGGUAUUACCGAUCAACGGACCAAGUUACCCUAGGGAUAACAGCGCAAUCCUCUUUUAGAGCCCAUAUCGACAAGAGGGUUUACGACCUCGAUGUUGGAUCAGGACAUCCUAAUGGUGCAGCCGCUAAUAAGGGUUC